rnacentral:rRNA from 1 species
CUUGGUGACAAUAGCGUUUUGGACCCACCUGACCCCAUGCCGAACUCAGUAGUGAAACGAAACAGCGCCGAUGAUA